rnacentral:rRNA from 1 species
GACGAACGCUGGCGGCGUGCUUAACACAUGCAAGUGGUGCGACGAACCAGGCUUCGGCCUGGGGCGAAGCCGCGAACGGGUGAGUAACACGUGGGCAAUCUGCCCCUUUGAUCGGGACAACCCGGGGAAACCCGGGCUAAUACCGAAUGAGGUGGCGACUCAUGAGAGUCGUCACGACAGGAAGCUUCGGCCUCCGCGAAGGGAUGAGCCCGCGGCCCAUAGCUUGUUGGUGGGGUAAUGGCCUACCAAGGCAACGAUGGGUAGCUGGUCUGAGAGGACGAUCAGCCACACUGGGACUGAGACACGGCCCAGACUCCUACGGGAGGCUGCAGUGGGGAAUCUUGCGCAAUGAGCGACAGCUUGACGCAGCAACGCCGCGUGAGGGAAGAAGGCUUUCGGGUCGUAAACCUCUUUCAGUUAGGACGAAGCUUUAUUGGUUAAUAACCAAUUGGAGUGACGGUACCUUGCGAGAAAGCCACGGCUAACUACGUGCCAGCAGCCGCAGUAA